rnacentral:miRNA from 1 species
UAGUGUGUGUAUAUGUGUGUGUGUGUGUGUGUGUAUAUAUAUAUAUACACACACACACAUACACACACAUGCAUACAUAUAUAC